rnacentral:rRNA from 1 species
GAUGAACGCUAGCUACAGGCUUAACACAUGCAAGUCGAGGGGCAGCAUGGUCUUAGCUUGCUAAGGCCGAUGGCGACCGGCGCACGGGUGAGUAACACGUAUCCAACCUGCCGUCUACUCUUGGACAGCCUUCUGAAAGGAAGAUUAAUACAAGAUGGCAUCAUGAGUCCGCAUGUUCACAUGAUUAAAGGUAUUCCGGUAGACGAUGGGGAUGCGUUCCAUUAGAUAGUAGGCGGGGUAACGGCCCACCUAGUCUUCGAUGGAUAGGGGUUCUGAGAGGAAGGUCCCCCACAUUGGAACUGAGACACGGUCCAAACUCCUACGGGAGGCAGCAGUGAGGAAUAUUGGUCAAUGGGCGAGAGCCUGAACCAGCCAAGUAGCGUGAAGGAUGACUGCCCUAUGGGUUGUAAACUUCUUUUAAUAAAGGAUAAAGUCGGGUAUGGAUACCCGUUGCAUGUACUUUA